UUUGCUACAAAAAACAAGAAAAUAAACACUCUCUCUAAAAAACCUUUAUCAAAAAGACAAGUGCUCAGGGAAGUUUGGUAUAAAGAUAAUCCAAUUUUUUUGAGUAUCAAACAUUUCAGCACAAAUACAGAUAUUUUAAUUAAUAAUAAAUACAGAGCCAUGGCUUAGAAAAAAUAUGUUCUGUGUAAGCAUCCUGUGAAGAAAAACAAAUACUUAAGUGAUAGCUGCAACUUAUCUUUUUAAGGAACUCUUAUUGAAAAGACAAAAAUAUUAUGGAUAUUGUUUAAAAACACACACAGUGCUGCAAACAAAUUAUUUUUGGAAAACUGCUCUCAUGUAUACACAUCCAAUCCAUGUCCCUAACAAAUCACCUAAGAUGAUAUGUACACCAGCAAGAGAGUAUCAGAAACUGAGUGUUAAUACAGGAGAUACAAAUAGGCUUUGAGCAAGUACAUAUUACUUUUAUAGUUUAGAGCUCAGAAAAUCUCUUUACUAUGCCAAAGUUUGAAACACACACAAGUAAUUUGGGUGCUUUUGCAAAUAACUAUACUCUUCUGCCAAACAAGUAUGACAUUUACGUUCACAGCAUAUCUAAUUCUGUUUCCCAGUAUGGUGAAAACACAACAGAAAAUUAUUUCAGCCUCCUUACAAAGAUUAAUCCAAAUAUUUUGCUUUACUUUUAUUAGCUUAACUGAUUUAUACAAAGGACUGAUACUAGUUUAUGUCCAAUUCCACUUGAUAUGCCUGAAGUGUUUUAGAAACCCCAACAUCGAACUACACACAGCUACAGUUCCUUUGCAGCAAGCCAGAUAGUCUCAUUUUGAAAUACAUUAGGCCAAAUUUGGCCUUCAUUUUCUUCUCAACAGUGCCCCCAAUUAACAGUUUUAUAUAACCAACAGAAAGCCAAUGAUCUUGAUAUUCACUCAUCCUGCCUGAAAUGACUCAUGUUAAAAAAUAAAAUUUAAAAAAAAAAAGAUGUAUUAAGUGCAAUUGUAUUAAGUCAAUGACAACAUCCUCUUUUUCAAAAAUGCAGAUCAUCAAAACCAACAUGAUCCCAACUCUGUAGUAUAGAUCUCGUGUCCUUCCAAGAACAAGGCAUAUUAAAAGCUGGUGAAGUCAGGAGUUACAACUUUUGUUCUUUAAAGUCAGUCUAAAAUGUUGUGCAGAGGAAGGUGUAGCCUUAUUGACAAUCUCUACUAAAAGCCUCAGUGAUUUCUAGUGACAGCAGCUUAAUUCUACAUAAGAUAAAUCUUUAUCCAUUUAUAUUCUUCUCCCUGCAGAAGUUCCAAUUUACUUUCUUUUCUAUGCUAGCUCAUUAAUACAUUAAUGUAUAAAUUAAUAUAUUAAUUCCCAAACCAUAUUAAUAAAACACCUCUAAAUAGAGCUGACAGCGGCAUGAUCCUACAGUAUCUAAUCAAACACAGCACCAUUCCCUAUCAACUGUCUGUGCUAACAGAGAUUGAACUGACACAACUGAAUGUUCUUUCAGACAUGCCUCAAACACUUCAUCAAGACACUGAAGUUCUGGGCUAACACAGACAUCUUCACAUGAAGUAUCCUUCUUCAAGCUAUCAUUCUCAAGGCCAAGGGCUCUUCCUCUGAAGACACUGAUACCUGCAAUAUAUCCCAGUUAAGCAAACAAAAGUACUACAUAUGAUAAAGGUUGCUUGUGAAGCAACGUUCAUGUGUACAGCAGGCAAAUAAAUAGAUUCUGUCAUGCUGCUUUACUCUACCAAUAUUUCUAAGCACAUUUGUUACCAUGAGGUUACAGUCUGAGCACUGCCAACCUGCAGAACAGAGAAGCAGGGAGCAAUACAGCUGCUGCUGCUAAUGCAGUGUAUGCUACAGGUAAGAAGUUUCUCCCCCUCAACCUUGAUCCAAUCCCUUAAGAUCCAAAUUUCAAAACAGAAAUUAUUAGGUUGAAAAUAAAUUAAAAUGGUAUAUUUAGGUCAUAAAAUGAUCUAAAGUAUCGACAAAGUCACAUACAAAGCCAGGAACUUCACUAAAUCUCAAUAAAACAAAAUAUUUAAAGUAGGAAAAAUUAGCACUUUUCUGGAAGCAUAGAUAAUUUUCUUGUUCUCAAGUAUUCUUCUACAGAUCUAUAGUUAACAAAAACCUGUUUUUGUUGUCAUGCUACAAAUUAAGUUUCACCGUCACAGGUACCCCCCCCAUUAAUCUUGGACAGAACAGUAUGAUGUAGGUACUACAAGUAAAACAGCAGCUUCUGACAGCAAAGUACACAACAGAACAUAGAAAUGCAAUCAUUUGGCAGUAUAGGCCUGUGUUGCACCUAUACUUGUAUUCAUAAGUCAUUUAGGAGGGCUUGCACAUGUUCUUGCUUCAGGAUUUUUUCUGAUAAUAGAGGUACAAAGGCAAAUUAGUUACUUGGUUUUCUGUGAAGCUGAACCAUCAUUACUCUUCACAAUAGCUAUUGACACUUAUCUUACAAAUCUGCUUAAACUCUCUAAAUUAUCACCAAUUUGCACAGCUCAUAAACCACUAUUAUUACAUAUUAAUCCUACUUUUUCUACCCCUCAUUAAAAGAAAAAAGCACAACCUACAUUAUUCCAGCUUUCCUAGCAGCAGUGCUGCUUAUUACAGAAUCACAAAACAGGUGAAUUAAGAAACCAGAGGGGGUUCAUCUGGUCAAACUCUUCUGCUCAAGCAGAGCCACCUAGACCACAUUGCCCAGAACCAUGUCCCAGAGGCUUUUGCGUAUAUCCAAGGAUGGAGACUCCACAGCCUCUCUGAGCACCCUGUGCCAACACUUGGUCACCCACCCUCACAGAGCAAAUGUAUUUCUUGAUGUUCAGAAGGAACCACCCAUGUUUCAGUUUGUGCCCGUUGCCUCUGAUCUUCCUCACCCUUUACUGGACUCUCUCUGGUAUGUCCAUGUUCUCUUUUACUGGGGAGCCCAGACUGGGACUCCAGGUGAGGCCUCUCCAGUGCUGCACAUAGGAGCAGGAUCACCCCUCUCAACCUGUUGGCAACAGUGCUCCUAAUGCAGCCCAGGAUACCAUUUGCUUUCUCUGCAGAAAGGGGAUAAGGCUGGCUCAUGUUUAACUUGGUGCCCACCAGGAGGCCCAGUUCCUUUUCUGCCAAGCCACUUUCCAGAUGGUUGUGCCCUGCCUGUGCUGGUGCCUGAGGCUGCUCCUCCCCACGGGCCAGGCUUCGCGCUUCUGUUUGAGCUAUUAGUUAUUGCACAUGGAUAGCCCAAGCUAGGUAAUAACACCUUGACUAAAUAAAUGUCUUUAUCCUUUAGAUAUGAAAUGAUCAGAGUAACCUCCAAAUGUGAAAAGAGAUCUUGAGCCUUGCCAUCCCUCUGCAGCUCCAGAGCACCUGAUUCAGGGGACUACACCAACCCAAAAAGUGACUUUCUCUCUUCAACAGUUAAACAUUUACCCCAGGACAAUUCAGAAUAGGCAAGUCAGAUGCAGAGGUUUGACAGGUUAUUAAUUUAAACGGGAGGCUGAAACAGAAAAUAGCUGGCUUUCAAGGAAGGGGAUGAGGGGAAGAUACAUUCUUCAGCUGCAGGAACACUGAUAGCUACUGUGCCUGCCUUUUCCUUUUCCUCACAGUUAAAUUAUUAUUAAGGAUAAAAAAAACAAGAGCUUUGUGGUUCUGGCAGACCAGCUAAGGCCAAUUCAUGGAAAAGAUUGGUAAAAUGAAUGAUACAGUUGUGCAAUAGAAACUUGGCAUUUCCCUCUUGGCACAUUCAUUCCCUUUAGAUGCAUGAUUAAUAUGAGAAUGACAGCCUUCCCUCUUCUAUCAUGAGUCAUGAAUCGAGAUACUAAUUUCAGAAACCCUACCAAACCAAGGUUCAGUAAUGUAUAGAUCACGGAAAGAAGAGAGUGAAGAAUGAAAGAGUGCACUGCAUUUGCUCAUAAAUAAGCAUGUUGCAAAAACAUCUCUCCUCCAGCCCAAACAUUUUUCCAUUCAUUUGGAGCCUUCAGUGUGCUAAAUGCCCUUCUAAUAUCCAAUACUGACCAUUUGCUCUCAACAACAGUUUAAGGACAAAUUAGAAUGACAAAAUAAAUAUGACAUUUACAGCCUUGCAAACUGAAUGAAUGAAAGCAAAGUUGGGAGGAUGGGCAUGUUAAGAAGGACACUACAGCACUGGGAAGUGCUUUCGAUGUGAGGAACCAGAAGGCAAACCAGCAGGCCUUUAAGCCUACUCAACACAGCUGUCCUGUGACAUUCUUCUUCCCAUUCCUUUGUAAACUAGAGUUAUCAUCCAAAGUAUCAAUCCAAGGUUUCAGGACUCUGUUUGUUUGACUAAAAUGGUUAUAUUCUAGUUUCUAAGCAUACUAACUGAGAUGCUGGUGUAAUAAAAAAUUCCUUUCUCUAAAACAAAGAAAAAGAAGUAAUUCUGGUUACUAAUAUCAGUUAUUUUGCUAAUGUGAUGCAUAUAUAGCAAUAAAAUAACACAAGUCGCCUUCAUGUAACAGAUUUCAUCUGUAUUCCGAGACGCUAAUUUUAAUCUCUCUUCCCACUCCCAAUCUUUUAACUUCACCAAAACCUAAAAAAAAGUUUUAGCACAUUUCACAGGGGUAUUAAAAAUUUGUUUUUCUCAUGCCAAUAUAAAAAUACAAAGUAAGUAAAGGCAAGUGAUAAUCACUUAAAAGAUCACAAAAUACUGAUGAAUUUACUCUCAAAAUUUUUGUAUCUUUUGUAGUAAGGACAGUCCACAAAAGAAAGAAUGACAAAUAUGAUGGUUUAGUUAUUAAUGGAAACCUUAAAUCCUAGCAAUAUACUUCAAUUUUCCUAUAAUGCAAAGAUAGACUUACACCCUCUGAUGGAAAUCUGGUCAAAACAAGGCUUGCAGCAUUAAGAACUCUACCUCCAUUUCUUCCUUGCUACUGCCCAAAAGGCAAAUAGAAAAUUAUCCAUGACAAAAAGCCCUGAGUUUUGCUACAUACCAAUGGAAAGAGCAUAACUGAGGAUCUUGGGUAUCACUGCCACUCUAAAUUUUUUUAAAAAAAGGUAUUUGAGACAAUGGAUCCUUCUUAUGUUCGAAUGUAAAACCUGAACUUUGAGGUGCACAGGCCCACCAGAGGAGGCUUUUUCCCCAAAAAUAUGAAGGAAUUAUCUUCUUUUAAUGGAAGUGAUCUCUCACAAGUUUUCCAUAUUAACCCAACUGCACAUUUACCAUUUUUAUAUAGCACAUACUAUCAUUAAACCUGACAUAUCAUCUGAAAUUUUCCACUACCUGUAAAUAUUUGUUGGAAAGAAAUAUUACAUUUCACAUGCCAAUUAUAACCAUCUUUCUAGGGAAGCACCUUUCUAAAGAUGCAUCUUUCCAGGACACAAAUAAUUUUCAAUUUAUGAAUAAUCUGAAAGUAUUAUCUAGCAUUUCACACCACUAGAGGGACCCAUAAGCAUUCUAAUUUCACAUAUAUUCCCAUCAAACCAUUAAAAAAUGUACUAUAUUAGAUCCGUGAACAUUUUUGUUUUAAUUAAGUCCUGCUAUUGAACUCUCCUGUAUGUUUACUACUCAUGAUUUGAAUUUUAAAAUAUUUUUACGACAUUCAGUACUCAAGUAUUAUAUAAAACUAUGAUUUCAUUUGGAAUAUACAGUCUUAGUAAGGAUUUUAAAGGUACAUAAAAAGACUGAUUUAGACUAUUGGGGUCUAAAUUAUCUCAUUAUACUUCCUGUCUUCCUUAGAACCACUUAGAAGCCCUGUUUAGCAUUGUUGUAAGGCACUACACUCCUGCUUAAAAAAAAUAUUAAGCCAUACUGUUUUGAUUUUAAUUUACAAUAUAUAACCAUUUCUAUACACAUUCAUAAACCUUUUCCAAAUAAUAAUGAGUGCUGGAAAAUAUGCUGUGGGUUAACGAUUAAUGAAAUAAACAUAGCGUUGCAAGUGUCUUCUGACUGAGGAAUCAGAAAAAAAAAUUUAGGUUUCAUGAAACUCUAGUAGUACCACAACUUUAUUAAAAACUCUAGGGGUUUUCAACAGAUGCUUCCUGAUGGAGGGGAAGUGCUAGGCAUCACCACCACCAAAGAUAACUUCUUUCCGGAACGAUCUUACAGAAUGAAAGGAUCUCACUGCCUCAGCAAAGCACAGAGCCAGAGAACCACGGAAUAAUUUAGGUGGGAAGGGACAGAAGAGACUUCUGAAAGUCCUUUAGUCCAAUUCUCUGCUCAAAGCAGAGCUGAUUUGAGAGAAAUUACUCAAAGUGAAGGGAUUAGACUACUUCGGUAUGAAGUGCCAAUUCUCCAAUGGCACUGUAAGUCACUGCACAGCAGCAGAAGUGUAAAAAAAAAAUCAUGAAAAGUUGGAUUUUACUGAUUUAUCUUUUGAAUUUUGGCUCAUCUUAGUAUUUCUGUAAACACCUCAGGAAAGACACAAAAUUAAGUGAAUUAAACAAUGUCAUUCCUGUGCUGGAAUGAGUAACAUUUUGCAAUAAUCUCAGGACUAGGAAACUACAUACAAGGCAGUCUUUCUGUAUCAAUUUGCUGAUUCAUAAGCCCAGUUGUGUUUUUGGGGUUUUUUUAACCUGAAUCCACUCACUGGGCAAGGCAAAUCUGCAGUUCACAACAGCAUACUGUGAACUAAGAUACCUCACUGAAGCUAAAUAUUUAGAGGAAUAUCAUCAGAACACAAAUAUACAAAAUAUAUACAAACAUAGCCUUUACAAAAUGGGUUAUGCCAUGUUAAUCAAGGUACUGAUGCUCCUACAGAACACGACACAAUGGUUCAACUCUUUUCCCAAAAGGAUAAUAUAUUCCAGACCGUCGCCAAAUCAUUUUCUUGCUGUCUUCCCAGAAAAACCCACCUUUCUUCUGUGUCCUAGAAAUCUUCGCUCCUACAGUAAAGGAAUGACAGAACCCUCAACUCAUCUUUUUUGUCUAUUUUUCAUCACCAGAAAUAAAAGAAUUGAAAAGUAACCCAUCUUGGUUAACAGAAAAAGCAUUUCCUUUACCAGUAUAUGUGACCAUCAACACAAAGUCAAACUGGCAGCAGAGAUGAAAACAAAAGAACUCUCACAUAUUUUCUACCCAACUGUCCAGCAUUAAAAAAAAAAAAAAGCCUUUCCAAAUAAUGUACUUGGAGAAGGAACACAUCGAAGAAGUUCAAAAGAAAAUAAAAGAAAAUAGAAAGUAUCUCUGUCUUCUUCCAUGGUCAAACUUAUGCCAGCAAUGAAACACAGAGUGUGCUGUAUGUGUGCAGGACUCCAGAGCACACACACUGUUUUACAGUAGCUUGGGAAGAAGAAACUAUAGGUAAAACAAACAUCUAGAAUAACAAAAGAAAAAAACAAACCUGCUCUGUAUUCUCAAUUGGCACUUUUUAUCCUCAAAUCUUCCUUAACCAAGCUCACUUCAAGCUCACUCUUUCCAUUUGGCCAAUACAGCUGUAAAUUUAGAACAUUUUCUAUGAUUUCCCCUUCUGUGACUGCAUUCUCCAAACUAAAUCAAAGUCAAAAUUUCUCUCACAUUGUGGAACACAAUUUAUUUGAGUAAUCUGGAUUGUGAAUAAUUAGAAGACAAUUUCAGAAUUGCAUCAUUCACAGAAAGGCAGCUUUUGAAGAAAUCUCUUAGGUACAAGCUUUUUACUCCUCAGUGAUGGUGUUUUCAAAAGAAAACAAAUACUUCAAGCUAUGAUCACACAGAAAUCUUCUUGCAUUACUUUAUUGAUUGUGAAACUCAUCCUUCUUCACAGUAGAUUGCUGAACAAGACAAACAAUUACCAUUAAACAUAACCAAAUAGAUAAUUCCUCUAUUUUCUUGAAACAAAAAAGGCAUUGAAAUUCAUCUGGCCUAUGCUUAUUUUAUCUCAAUCUCUAGAAGGUAUCAUCAAAAGCAUUAUUAGCUGCUGCAACACAAGGAUUUUUCAAAUUGUUUCAGGCAAUCAGUUUGGAUUUGCACUCGUCUCUUCUUUGAAUUCUGGCCUCUCAGCCAAAGGAAGUCUAAACUCACUGUUCAAGUGAAUAAACCUUUGCCAAUGGUUUGUGAGCUAGGAACUGGGAAGUUAAAAACAUCAUUGCAAACAGUAUAUGCUGACAUUUUUGCCAGAUCUCAGAAUAGUUUAUAAUAUGUUCCACAAAGUGUAAUUUCCAAUUAAACAGUCUGAAGGUUGUAUAAUAAAGUGGAAUUUCAUCACGUAUUUGCACUCUCAAGAAAGAGAAUUAGAUUUAGCCAUCACCUAUAAAAAUAUCCCUUUCUUUCCAUUCCCCCCUACAAAGGCUCCAUAUACAGCUAAGGAGAAGAACCAUUUAAGUCUCAGGGAAGUCUUAAGUUUCCAUCACAUUGUUUUUUCUCCUAUGUGAAGCAUUAUACUGUAUGCAAGCAACUAUUUUCUUCAAAAUUGAGCAUUCUUGAAUGUUACCAAACACAUACUGAUUAACUCAAAAUCCCAUCUUCUAAGAUAUUUUAACUCACAGAUGUGACAGAUUUGAUUAUCUAUAAAACAUGAAACAGAGCCCCAUAUGAUGGCAAUAUCAUCAUCUCCCCAUAGAAGCAUGCUCAGAUGAGACUGGCAUGAGAGAAUUGUAAAAACCUUUUGACAAGAUCUUACUUAUUCUGGGCCAGGCACAACAGGAACAGCAAGAAGAAAAACAUGUUUCUUCUCUGCAAAACCAAAGUAUUCAUUUUUCUGUCUGGUUCUUCUAGACUAUAUCCAACAACCCUUUCCUAAAAGGGAAGCUUAAAAGUAUUAAUUUCAGCUGUAUCUGCAUAAGACACUUCUCAAUAUUUUUUCUGUUAUCUUAAUUAUUCAUUUGAUCUUUAUUCAUUUUGGCUUCACUUCCUCACUAUAACAUACUAUACAUAUCAUUGUGCACACUCACUGCUUUGGUUUUUUUUCAGGUGAAACAGUGAGUGAUUAGGGCACAUUAUAUAUGCUUUUGUUUCUGCAUGCUAGAAACACCUCAAACAAUCAAAAUUUCUUAAGUGUAUUUGUGUGUGUGUAUAUACAUACAUAUAUUAAAAAAUAGACGUUACUGACAACCUCUCAAUAGCAAGAAAACAAAACCUCAAAUUUUAUUGCUGGCUUGCUAUUUAUGAAAAAGGGAAUAUUUUUAUCCUGUCAUUCACUAAUUCUUCUACCAAAGAUUUUGUUUCACAUUAGCUUGUAUCAACAUAUUCUGACAUUGAAGACUGAAUUACUGUCUGUGGUGUCUCAAGUAAUGUAAAGAAAAUUUUAAAGUAUUUGUGUAAACUGUAGCCUAUUUGUAAACCAGAAGACAGUGAUUAUAACCACUGCAAUCACUUUUUUCCAUAACUUCCCUGAAAACGAAACAGUACAUGCUGCAUUCUUACAGCAAACUGCAAAACUCCACUCUUGUUUCCCAUGGAGUGAAAAGCAGACCCAGUUGUUCUACAGUUCAUUCAGUAAAACAUUACCGUCUAUGCAUUUUACUGUGCAACAGUGAAUUCAGAGGAAGAAAGUUGUGUGGCUACUCUCUCCUUUCCAGAAAUGGUGGAUCUGAGACGCUAUCUUGAGUUUAUGCCCAUGGUCCCACACAGGAGUAACCAACAGUCACACAGUAAACAGCAAAAGUACAAAUUGAUGACUCAGCAUGAACCAACUGCCAACCACCAAGAAGAAUAUAAUCCUGACUUUCCCCACUCACCAGGAAGCAGUCUUGUUGAAACAAAAAUUUGUUUAUUAAGCUAUUCCUCUUGGUAGUUCCUGCAAUUACCUAUAAAAAAGUGACUUCUGGAAUAUAAUGCAGAAGGAAAACUACCACCCAGCAAAGUUACUUUGAUCAUCAGUCAAAUCCUACAUUUAAUAAUCCUCAGAUAUGACUCCCAUUCCACUAUCUCUAACAAAAAUAUUUUUCCGAUCAUCUUCCUAAAAUCAAAUUUCCUAACAGUUACUGUUGAGAAUACUUCUAGACAGGUUAGAAACUUGAAUAUUCAUGUCUCAAUUACAGAAUUCUGGAAUGAAGAUACAGAUGCUGAGCCUAUAAUGCCUAAGAAGGUACAGAAGUGAUCUUUAGAAGUAAGUGCUGACAAACUUUUCUUCAGCAACACUAGCUGAAGUUGCAAGUUAAAAUAGUGUUAUGAAGAAAAGUAAUGCAUUUCAAAUUCAGUACUCUUCCAACCUACCAGUAAAAUACUGGGUCAAGAGCCUAUCAAUAAAAUAUUAGAAAAGAGACUGGUCAGCAUAUUAUUAGCUAAACCUCCUGAAAGACAUUCAACUUCUUCUCAAAACAUCAUUGACAGAAGAAGAAAAUGCUGAACAACCAAAGUUAGCUAAGCAAAACACAAAACAGCAAAUAAUGCUUCAGCACUGUGACUGACAGCCACUGUGUAAGUCAUCUGCAAAACACACAAGCAAUGAUCACUGCAAAAUGUUUAGAACCACAGAAUAAAGCUACUGGAUAAUAGAAAAAAGUUACAGUGCAACGAUACAAACACAAAGGAGGAAGCAUGUCCAUGCAUUACUGAUGUUCAGGAUACAGCUGUGAUGGGGGGGAAAAAAAAGGCAACAUUUAGAUGGUUUCGUCUGCUUCAGCUGCAGAAGACACCCUUUCCAGUUCAGUAUUUGCCCCAAGGAAAGAAGAGCUGACCGACUCCUCUCACGUGCUAUUACUCAUACAGGUAUCUUUCUAGAGAUUCGUAUCUAUAAACACUGACACAUCUACAGUGACGUGACGCACUUUACAUGAAUGUUACCUUGUGAGGCACACUGCAAGCACCACAAAAGGGAAAUACUCAUUUUUUAACCAUUGGAUGUAGUGAGUCUUAUCACUUUUGACAAAGAACCAUAUUAGAGUUGUACAGAUGCUCAACCAGGACUGGUCUACAGCAGCCUGUAUCUGCCCACACCUGUUGGCAGGUACUGUCAUCUGCUCAUUCAUAGCAAGAAACUGGUCCAAUUUUGGAGCUCAAUACAAAUACCUUCAUCUGUGAUUUUGAAGAGUUAAAGAACUGUACCAUUGUUACAAGACAAAGUUCCAUCAGGGCCUCAAGACUGCAAUCCACUCAGUAAAGGCAGACUGCUCUGAAGGUGAGAUGCAAGAAGUUGAGUUUUAGCUGCUCUGAGUUACUACGUUUCACUAUUAAAUACACCUUCAGCGAAGACUGAAUGGUAUACUGGAAGCAGAUAAACAGUAAUUUCAAUUCCCACAUACUUCACAUAUUGCAAGUAACCUGGCUAUGGAAGUGAAAACAGUUGAACAGUAAUGUGUGACAAGAAAAGCUACCAAAGUUUUGGACUUUGGAAUAAAAAAUUUAUGUUCUAUUUCCUAAAGCACAUCCUUUGAACAGUGAAAGAUCAUCUUACUGUGCUAUAUUUAAAUGGCAAUCUAAAUAAAAAACAUCGAGUUUACAAUCUCACAGAAAGAUACCACAAAACUGUCAACACAUCGCAACAACCAGAAAAGAAAAUUACAGAACUUAAAGUCACAGAAGUUGUAUCUUCACAAGUUAUCAACAGAAGACACAAAGGACACAACAAGUCUGUCCUCUAAAUUCAAGGUUGAAGCUUUUUUCCUCGGGGAGAAGCUUUUCCAGUAACUUUUAUGCUUAUGUGAACACUACUAGCUCACCUGUGCAGCUUCAGAGCUUCCAGAAGCAUGUGUGUGGAAAGGGGGAGCACAGGAAGCACUCAGGGCUUCCCCACACAGCAGCUCUACGUAUGAAUUUCUACAGUUGUGUCUGUCCCGCUCAUGAACUCAGAGAACAGAGCAAUGCAGUGCAACAAAUAAAGGCUAAAAGGCACAGGAGCAGGCACAAUGUGAGAUGUUCCUUUUCACUUGCUCCCUGGGUUUCUCUCUCAUUCACACGUGAAAAAGAAAUAAAUAAAAUUUAUGGUAACAACUAA